GAGGGUGUAGUUCAGUGGAAGAACAUUUGUCUAUAGUGCAAAAGGCCCUGGGUUCCACCCUAGUGCCACCA
rnacentral:tRNA from 1 species